GACGUAUCGGUCCCCUGGGGCGCCGCGCUGUGGGGGUCGUCGUGACGUCCAGUCCCACACAGGGAUGCAAGCUGAAGGAGAACUCAUCGAUGCCGGACUGUGGCGGGAGCCGGUGGACGGCGCAGGGGGGUUAUUGCAUCUCCCCUCCAUAGCAUCGAAAUGGAGUGAAAUACAGGCAUUUCAAGCGAGACCAGAUGAUGUUCUUAUUUCCACUAACCAUAAAGCAGCACUGAACCAACUCUCACCAAUAAAGAGAAGGAGCUGCAGGAGAAGCUGAACUACGUUGACGUGGUGAUGAAUAAAAAGGUAAAGGUCUGGAUUAAGUUUAUGUAACAGAUAAAGCAGGCAUGUGAUUUCUCAAUGUUCCCUGGUGUCGCUAUGUGUUCAGAGGCGGACUGACAGUCUCCCACUGUGUUUCCUACGAAAAAAGCUCUACGACAACUACCUUCGUCAAAGGGCUGCAGAUCACGACGUGAACUGAACAGCAAAAGAUGAGAUAUGAAUGAGGUGCAACACCACUGUUCUUUGAAGGCUUAAAAUGGUUAUUUCAGCAUUUAUUUCACCUGUGAUGCUAGUUUCUUUUACUUUUGACAUGGUGACCUUAUUGCAAAAUACAUUCAAGGUACUUAGUUUUGGCUGAAUUGUUCUUCCCUAGGGAUGGUUCUGUCUCAGUGAUAAAUUAAUCCUCCUUGUAAUAUUGCAAUUGACAAAAUAAAAAUGCACAACAGAUCCAGCUGCUCUGAGGGUUGUUGGUGUUUUGUGUCAAAAUCCAGAUGGCUGAAGUCUUGUGUGGAAUUAGCUUUAUCUCAAAAGAUAAGAUCUUGUGACUUAUUUCUGGAGCAACUUUCCACAUCAUUCACUGCUUCUAAAGCAAUACUAAAUUAGGGCCAACUGGGGUGGCUACAGCUCUGGUAAAUCACUUUCAUCACCAGUUUUGGUAAUUGACUUCUGGUGGGAGAGACUGUUGAUUUCUGUGUCUGAAUUUCCUUUGAGCUGCUUAUGCAUAAGUUUACAUUUAGUAGAUGCUUUUCUGCAAAAUGACUUUCAAUGAACUGGAUGUCAUCUUAUCGACCAGUUGUCAGUAAGAGGACAUGGGUUUGAUCCCUGGGCAACCGGUGUGGACUUUGCAUGUUCUCGCC